rnacentral:rRNA from 1 species
GUGCCAGCAGCCGCGGUAAUACGUAGGGUCCAAGCGUUAAUCGGAAUUACUGGGCGUAAAGCGUGCGCAGGCGGUUGUGCAAGACCGAUGUGAAAUCCCCGAGCUUAACUUGGGAAUUGCAUUGGUGACUGCACGGCUAGAGUGUGUCAGAGGGGGGUAGAAUUCCACGUGUAGCAGUGAAAUGCGUAGAGAUGUGGAGGAAUACCGAUGGCGAAGGCAGCCCCCUGGGAUAACACUGACGCUCAUGCACGAAAGCGUGGGGAGCAAACAGGAUUAGAUACCCCAGUAGUCCA